rnacentral:lncRNA from 1 species
AGUCCAAGUGGUGAGUUCCAAAAGUUUCUCUUCAUCAACAUCUCUCCAUUGCUUGAUGUUGAAUGUGAUGUAGCCUCUUGAUCAUACGUAGAUUGUUCGCUUGUUGAUGCAUCGGCUGGAAAUUCAAGGGAUAAACGAUUUUCAGAUGAAGGCAAUUUCAUGAUCAUCAACUAAUAUAUCUCCCUUCGUAUAUUGUGGAAAAGGAAGUUUAGUUGACAUGUUGCAUGGGAUGUAGUCUCUUGAUCAUAUGUAGAUUGUUCGCUUGUUGAUGCAUCGGCUGGAAAUUCAAGGGAUAAACGAUUUUCAGAUGAAGGCAUUUUCAUGAUCAUCAGCUAAUAAUCUCCCUUCGUAUGUUGUGGAAAAGGAAGUUUA